UACGGAGGGUGCAAGCGUUAUCCGGAUUUACUGGGUUUAAAGGGUGCGUAGGCGGGCUUUUAAGUCAGUGGUGAAAGCUCCGGGCUUAACUCGGAAAUUGCCAUUGAUACUACUAGUCUUGAAUUCAGUUGAGGUCGGCGGAAUGUGUCGUGUAGAGGUGAAAUUCUUAGAUAUGACACAGAACACCAAUUGCGAAGGCAGCUGGCUAAUCUGAUAUUGACGCUGAGGCACGAAAGCGUGGGGAUCAAACAGG
rnacentral:rRNA from 1 species